rnacentral:rRNA from 1 species
AUACGAAAGGUGCAAGCGUUGUUCGGAUUUACUGGGCGUAAAGAGAUCGUAGGUGGUUUAUUAAGUCGGAUGUGAAAUCCCGGGGCUCAACCUCGGAACUGCAUUCGAUACUGGUAGACUAGAGUUUGGGAGGGGUAAGCGGAAUUCCGUGUGUAGCAGUGAAAUGCGUAGAUAUACGGAGGAACACCUGAGGCAAAGGCGGCUUACUGGACCAAUACUGACACUGAGGAUCGAAAGCGUGGGUAGCAAACAGGAUUAGAUACCCCAGUAGUCC